GGGAUGUAGUAAUACAUUCAGUGGCGAACGGGUGAGUAACGCGUGGAUGAUCUACCUACGAGAUGGGGAUAACUAUUAGAAAUAGUAGCUAAUACCGAAUAAAGUCAAUCAAUUUGUUAAUUGAUGAAAGGAAGCCUUUAAAGCUUCGCUUGUAGAUGAGUCUGCGUCUUAUUAGCUAGUUGGUAGGGUAAAUGCCUACCAAGGCGAUGAUAAGUAACCGGCCUGAGAGGGUGAACGGUCACACUGGAACUGAGAUACGGUCCAGACUCCUACGGGAGGCAGCAGCUAAGAAUCUUCCGCAAUGGGCGAAAGCCUGACGGAGCGACACUGCGUGAAUGAAGAAGGUCGAAAGAUUGUAAAAUUCUUUUAUAAAUGAGGAAUAAGCUUUGUAGGAAAUGACGAAGUGAUGACGUUAAUUUAUGAAUAAGCCCCGGCUAA
rnacentral:rRNA from 1 species